GGGAACAGAAGGGAUUAAUGGGUAGAUUAGGGUUAGGGUUCGUGCAAAACAGAGGGAUGCGGGGGAAAGGGUUAGGGUUCGUGCGUGGGGGAAGAAGAGAGGGAUGAGAUGCGGGGGAAGGGUUGAUUAGGGUUAGGGUUCAUGCGAAACAGAGGGAUGUAGGGGAAGGGGUUAGGGUUCGUGCAUGGGGAAGAAGAGAGGGAUGGGAUGCGGGGGAAGGGUUGAUUAAGGUUAGGGUUCGUGCAAAACAA